UGUAAAUAUUACCAAUCGUUUGUAAAAUGAAUGUCAGAUGCAAUACACAUCCCUACCAACGAAUGAUUCAUUUUACUUCGCGGUGUUAGUAUUUUUUACGAUUGUCAUUACUGGCAACCGCGAAGAAAAUGUGAAUAUAACAUUAUUAGUCUAAUUACCGAGUAGAUAAUUGAGUUGAACGGCACUACUUUCCGAUAUUGAUUUCUUCACAGAAGAAGGUCGAACCCAAAUUCGGGACAGCAAUGAUUCGUCCUCGUCUGCUGCGGGAGAAUUUGAAGACAUUACUUCAAUAAUUAGGAAUCUGGGUACUUCGAAACACAAAAACGAACCCUGUCGAGUCCUAGAUUCAUCUUCAUGCUAUUGGAUUUGGUCAAGGACAACUUCAUAAACGCUUUGCAGAUUGUGAUAGGUGGUUCGAUCAAUUGGAUGUUUUCCGGAUUCGUCACGACAGAGGUUCCGUAUCCACUGAGGCUGCGCGUCAAGUCAAUAUUGCAACGGGGCAUAGAGCAGGCCUCACCUAAUGCCGCCAGGGUUUCGUCAGCUUCGUGAUAUUUCCCGAUUGUGUUUGGCUUAAAAGUAAUUACACGCUGGUCCAGGGAGAGGAUAAUGCCGUGGAUCAGACCCAAUCGAUGCAGGAUCAGAUGUCUAUAGUUUAGAUAGUUCAAUGAAUAAUUUAAAAAAGUUAGUUAGUUCAAUAAAUGAACAAAUAUGCAUACAAAAGAUCA